GUCUUGGUCAAGUACAGAUCACAUAUGACGAUGGUUUCAUAAGAUAAUACUGUGUUUUUACUGUACCUUUGUCACUGUGUUUAGAUACACAAAUACUUACAUUAUGUUACUAUUGCCUAUGGUAUUGAGUAUAGUAACCUGCUGUACAGAUCUAUAGCCUAGGAGCAAUAGGCUAUACCAUACAGCAUAGGUGUGUCACAGGCUCUCCCACCUUGGUUUGUGUAAGUACACUCUGUGAUGUUUGCACACAACGAAAUCGCCUGAUGACACAAUGCUCAGAAUGUGUCUCCAUCAUUAAGAGAUACAUGACUACCUACCCCAUCAAUCUUGCCUAUUCCAGAAACAAAGUGAAAUUAAUAAUAUAAAAUUGGUUUGAUCAAUUUAUGAAUUACAUUGUCAUUGAAAGUAGGAGAACUAGACCAGGAGGCACUGGUGUGACCCUGGAGUAGAUGGAACUGUUUGUGCAUGUGUCUUUCUUACCUUCCAUUCUCAUAAAGAAUUAGCACAUUCCCCACAUACACCCUGGCCAGACCGUGUCUUUGGGACUGCAGCACUAAGGUGUGUUUUUGUUUGUUAACUUAUUCCCAGUGCCUGUGUUGACCAGGAGGCUUUGGGAAUAAAGGUACAUAAAGGUCUUGGAGCCUGGAUGAGCCUGUGGUCAAGAGAUGGCAGGCAGUGUCCUUGAAUUUGGAAUGUGACUCACACUCUGCCUGUAGGGGAAGAAAAGAGAGAUCAGACUGUUACUGUGUCUAUGUAGAAAGGGAAGACAGAAGAGACUGCAUUUUGAAAAAGACCUGCACUUUAAACAAUUGCUUUGCUGAGAUGUUGUUAAUUUGUAGCUUUGCCCCAGCCACUUUGCCCCAGCCACUUUGACCCAACCUGGAGCUCACAAAAACAUGUGUUGUAUGAAAUCAAGGUUUAAGGAAUCUAGGGCUGUACAGGACGUGCCUUGUUAACAAAAUGUUUACAAGUAGUAUACUUGGUAAAAGUCAUCGCCAUUCUCUAGUCUCAAUAAACCAGGGGAACAAUGCACUGUGGAAAGCCGCAGGGACCUCUGCCCUUGAAAGCGGGAUAUUGUCCAAGGUUUCUCCCCAUGUCAUAGCCUGAAAUAUGGGCUCCUGGGAUGAGAAAGACCUGACCGUCCCCCAGCCUGACACCCUUAAAGGGUCUGUGCUGAGGUGGAUUAGUAAAAGAGGAAAGCCUCUUGCAGUUGAGAUAGAGGAAGGCCACUGUCUCCUGUCUGCCCCUGGGAACUGAAUGUCUCGGUAUAAAACCCGAUUGUACAUUUGUUCAAUUCUGAGAUAGGAGAAAAACCGCCCUAUGGUGGGAGGUGAGACAUGUUUGCAGCAAUGCUGCUUUGUUAUUCUUUACUCCACUGAGAUGUUUGGGUGGAGAGAAACAUAAAUCUGGCUUACGUGCACAUCCAGUCAUAGUACUUUCCCUUGAACUUAAUUAUGACAUAGAUUCUUUUGCUCACAUGUUUUUUGCUGACCUUCUCCUUAUUAUCACCCUGCUCUCCUGCUACAUUCCUUUUUGCUGAAAUAAUGAAAAUAAUAAUCAAUAAAAACUGAG
rnacentral:lncRNA from 10 species